AUUGAACGCUGGCGGCAGGCCUAACACAUGCAAGUCGAGCGGCGCGGCGGACGGGUGAGACAUGCCUAGACAUCUGCCUGGUAGUGGGGGAUAACGUCCGGAACGGGGCGCUAAUACCGAAUUCUAGCAGGUGAGCCUAGGUUGGAUUAGCUAGUUGGGGGGGGAAAGGGCUACCAAGGCGAAGAUCCGUAACUGGUCCGAGAGGAUGAUCAGUCACACUGGAACGGAGACACGGUCCAGACUCCUACGGGAGGCAGCAGUGGGGAAUAUUGGACAAUGGGCGAAAGCCUGAUCCAGCCAUGCCGCGUGUGUGAAGAAGGUCUUCGGAUUGUAAAGCACUUUAAGUUGGGAGGCGUUACCAACAGAAGAAGCACCGGCUAACUUCGUGCCAGCAGCCGCGGUAAUAC
rnacentral:rRNA from 1 species